rnacentral:rRNA from 1 species
CUCGGACAGUGUCUGGUGGGUAGUUUGACUGGGGCGGUCUCCUCCCAAAGAGUAACGGAGGAGCACGAAGGUUUGCUAAUGACGGUCGGACAUCGUCAGGUUAGUGCAAUGGUAUAAGCAAGCUUAACUGCGAGACAGACAAGUCGAGCAGGUACGAAAGUAGGUCAUAGUGAUCCGGUGGUUCUGAAUGGAAGGGCCAUCGCUCAACGGAUAAAAGGUACUCCGGGGAUAACAGGCUGAUACCGCCCAAGAGUUCAUAUCGACGGCGGUGUUUGGCACCUCGAUGUCGGCUCAUCACAUCCUGGGGNNNNNNNNNNUCAUGAGACAGUUCGGUCCCUAUCUGCCGUGGGCGUUGGAGAAUUGAUUGGGGCUGCUCCUAGUACGAGAGGACCGGAGUGGACGCACCACUGGUGUUCCGGUUGUGUCGCCAGACGCAUUGCCGGGUAGCUAAGUGCGGAAGAGAUAAGUGCUGAAAGCAUCUAAGCACGAAACUUGCCAAGAGAUGAGUUCUCCCUGUUUUUAAGACAGUAAGGGUUGUUUAAGACUAAGACGUAGAUAGGUCUGGUGUGUAAGCGGUGCGAGCCGUUGAGCUAACAGAUACUAAUUGCCCGAGAGGCUUAACUAUACAACGCUCAAGGGUUUUG